CCUGACUGCUAUCGGAUUGAUACUAAGCCAUGCGAGUCUUUGUAGUAAUACAAGGCAUACGGCUCAGUAACACGUAGUCAACCUACCCUAUGGACGAGAAUAAUCUCGGGAAACUGAGCAUAAUUCUCGAUAGAUCAUAAUGCCUGGAAUGGUUUAUGGUUAAAAUGAUUCGUCGCCAUAGGAUGGGACUGCGGCCUAUCAGCUUGUUGGUGAGGUAAUGGCCCACCAAGGCGAUUACAGGUACGGGCUCUGAGAGGAGAAGCCCGGAGAUGGGUACUGAGACACGGACCCAGGCCCUAUGGGGCGCAGCAGGCGAGAAAACUUUGCAAUGUGCGAAAGCACGACAAGGUUAAUCCGAGUGAUUUCUGCUAAAGAAAUCUUUUGCCAGUCGUAAAACCACUGGUGAAUAAGGGGUGGGCAAGUUCUGGUGUCAGCCGCCGCGGUAAAACCAGCACCUCAAGUGGUCAGGAUGAUUAUUGGGCCUAAAGCAUCCGUAGCCGGCUUUGUUAGUUUUCGGUUAAAUCCAUGUGCUCAACGCAUGGGCUGCCGAAAAUACUGCAUGGCUAGGGAGUGGGAGAGGUAGACGGUACUCAGUAGGAAGGGGUAAAAUCCUUUGAUCUAUUGAUGACCACCUGUGGCGAAGGCGGUCUACCAGAACACGUUCGACGGUGAGGGAUGAAAGCUGGGGGAGCAAACCGGAUUAGAUACCCGGGUAGUCCCAGCUGUAAACGAUGCAGACUCGAUGAUGCAUUGGCAUAAUAGCCAGUGCAGUGUCGCAGGGAAGCCGUUAAGUCUGCCGCCUGGGAAGUACGUACCCAAGUAUGAAACUUAAAGGAAUUGGCGGGGGAGCACCACAAGGGGUGAAGCCUGCGGUUC
rnacentral:rRNA from 1 species